GCAGUGUACCCGCGGCAAGACGGAAAGACCCCGUGAACCUUUACUAUAGCUUGACACUGAACAUUGAGCCUUGAUGUGUAGGAUAGGUGGGAGGCUUUGAAGUGUGGACGCCAGUCUGCAUGGAGCCGACCUUGAAAUACCACCCUUUAAUGUUUGAUGUUCUAACGUGGACCCGUAAUCCGGGUUGCGGACAGUGUCUGGUGGGUAGUUUGACUGGGGCGGUCUCCUCCUAAAGAGUAACGGAGGAGCACGAAGGUUGGCUAAUCCUGGUCGGACAUCAGGAGGUUAGUGCAAUGGCAUAAGCCAGCUUGACUGCGAGCGUGACGGCGCGAGCAGGUGCGAAAGCAGGUCAUAGUGAUCCGGUGGUUCUGAAUGGAAGGGCCAUCGCUCAACGGAUAAAAGGUACUCCGGGGAUAACAGGCUGAUACCGCCCAAGAGUUCAUAUCGACGGCGGUGUUUGGCACCUCGAUGUCGGCUCA
rnacentral:rRNA from 1 species